UACGUAGGGGGCAAGCGUUGUCCGGAUUUAUUGGGCGUAAAGAGCGUGUAGGUGGCCAAGUAGGUCAGCUGUGAAAACUUGAGGCUCAACCUCAAGCUGUCGGUUGAAACCCCUUGGCUAGAGUCCGGAAGAGGAGAGUGGAAUUCCUGGUGUAGCGGUGAAAUGCGCAGAUAUCAGGAAGAACACCAAUGGCGAAGGCAGCUCUCUGGGACGGUACUGACACUGAGACGCGAAAGCGUGGGGAGCGAACAGG
rnacentral:rRNA from 1 species